CGGUAAAACCAGCACCUCAAGUGGUCAGGAUGAUUAUUGGGCCUAAAGCAUCCGUAGCCUGCUUUGUAAGUUUUCGGUUAAAUCCAUGUGCUCAACGCAUGGGCUGCCGAAAAUACUGCAUAGCUAGGGAGUGGGAGAGGUAGACGGUACUCAGUAGGUAGGGGUAAAAUCCUUUGAUCUAUUGAUGACCACCUGUGGCGAAGGCGGUCUACCAGAACACGUUCGACGGUGAGGGAUGAAAGCUGGGGGAGCAAACCGGAUUAGAUACCCGGGUAGUCCCAGCUGUAAACGAUGCAGACUAGAUGAUGCAUUGGCAUAAUAGCCAUUGCAGUGUCUCAGGGAAGCCGUUAAGUCUGCCGCCUGGGAAGUACGUACGCAAGUAUGAAACUUAAAGGAAUUGGCGGGGGAGCACCACAAGGGGUGAAGCCUGCGGUUCAAUUGGAGUCAACGCCAGAAAUCUUACCCGGAGAGACAGCAGAAUGAAGGUCAAGCUGAAGACUUUACCAGACAAGCUGAGAGGUGGUGCAUGGCCGUCGCCAGCUCGUGCCGUGAGAUGUCCUGUUAAGUCAGGUAACGAGCGAGAUCCCUGCCGCUAGUUGCUAUCAUUAUUCUCAGGAAUAGUGGAGCGAAUUAGUGGGACUGCCGUUGUUAAAACGGAGGAAGGAAGGGGCUACGGCAGGUCAGUAUGCCCCGAAACUCUGGGGCCACACGCGGGCUGCAAUGGUAGUGACAAUGAGUUCCAAACUCGAAAGAGAGUGGCAAUCUCUAAACGCUACCACAGUUAUGACUGAGGGCUGUAACUCGCCCUCACGAAUAUGGAAUCCCUAGUAACCGCGUGUCAUUACCGCGCGGUGAAUACGUCCCUGCUCC
rnacentral:rRNA from 1 species